UACGUAGGGUGCAAGCGUUAAUCGGAAUUACUGGGCGUAAAGCGUGCGCAGGCGGUUUGUAAGUCUGUCGUGAAAGCCCCGGGCUCAACCUGGGAAUUGCGAUGGAGACUGCAAGGCUUGAAUCUGGCAGAGGGGGGUAGAAUUCCACGUGUAGCAGUGAAAUGCGUAGAGAUGUGGAGGAACACCGAUGGCGAAGGCAGCCCCCUGGGUCAAGAUUGACGCUCGAUGCACGAAAGCGUGGGGAGCAAACAGG
rnacentral:rRNA from 1 species